rnacentral:rRNA from 1 species
AUGGACGUAGUGACUGCUUACCUUUAUGGUUCACUUGAUUCGGACAUAUACAUGAAGGUUCCUGAUGGAGUACCAAUCCCGAAUCCAAACGCAAAACGCAACGCAUAUUGUGUAAAACUAAAUAAGUCUUUAUACGGCUUAAAACAGCCGGGUCGCAUGUGGUACAACCGACUCAGUGAGUUCCUUUUGAAAAAAGGAUACUCUAAUAAUGAUGAUUGCCCAUGUGUUUUCAUAAAAAAGUCCGCAACUGGAUUUUGCACUAUUUAUGUGUAUGUUGAUGAUCUGAACAUCAUUGGAACCACACAAGAUAUUGAUGAAGCACGCAAUCACCUAAAGACGGAAUUUGAGAUGAAGGAUUUGGGUAAAACCGAGUUUUGCUUAGGAUUACAACUUGAGCACCUUCCCUCGGGUAUUUUGGUUCAUCAAACCGCCUAUAUCCAGAAAAUAUUAGAGAAAUUCAAUAUGGACAAAUCCUAUCCAUCCAAAACUCCUAUGGUAGUUCGAUCUCUUGACGUAGAGAAAGAUCAAUUUAGACCAAUGGACAAUGGGGAAGAGAUAUUAGGACCUGAAGUUCCAUAUCUCAGUGCCGUUGGAGCGCUCAUGUAUCUUGCAAAUUGCACCAGGCCUGAUAUUGCAUUUGCAGUCAAUUUACUAGCUAGACAUAGCGCAGCUCCUACUAAACGCCAUUGGACGGGAGUUAAGAAUAUCUUUCGAUAUCUCCAAGGCACAAAGGAUCUUGGCCUAUUCUUUCAAUUUCAGAGAAAUUUGGACAUUGAUAUGAUUGGGUAUGCUGAUGCUGGCUACUUAUCUGACCCCCACAAUGCCAGAUCACAAACCGGUUUUGUGUUCUUACAUGGUGGGACAGCCAUAUCAUGGAAGUCUUCCAAACAGACUCUAGUGGCUACAUCCACCAAUCAUUCUGAAAUAAUCUCUUUAUUUGAGGCAACACGUGAAUGUGUAUGGCUUCGCAGAAUGAUAAACCACAUACAAAAAUCAUGUGGUAAAGGUUCUAUCGAAUCUCCAACCAUUAUCUACGAAGAUAAUGCAGCUUGUGUUGCUCAAAUGCAAACAGGUUACAUAAAGAGCAAUAUCACUAAGCAUAUUUCUCCUAAAUUAUUUUUUCCCCAUCAAUUACAAAAGAAAGGGAAGAUAAACAUUUUGCAAGUCAAAUCAUGCAAUAAUCUAGCUGAUCUAUUCACAAAGUCACUCCCAGCUUCAACAUUUGAAAAAUAUGUUCAUGGGAUUGGUAUGCGACGACUUCGAGAUUUGCAAAGAUCAGGGGGAGAGUCUCUUUGA